UCCGAUAUGGUGUAACGGCUAACAUUGCCGCCUUUCAUCGCAUGCAUGUAUUCAGCGGCAGCUCGGGGUUCGAUUCCCCGUAUCGGAA